CCUACGGGUGGCAGCAGUAGGGAAUAUUGCUCAAUGGGGGAAACCCUGAAGCAGCAACGCCGCGUGGAGGAUGAAGGUUUUCGGAUUGUAAACUCCUUUUGUUAGAGAAGAUAAUGACGGUAUCUAACGAAUAAGCACCGGCUAACUCCGUGCCAGCAGCCGCGGUAAUACGGAGGGUGCCAGCGUUACUCGGAAUCACUGGGCGUAAAGAGCGCGUAGGCGGGAUAGCAAGGCAGAUGUGAAAUCCUAGGGCUUAACCAUAGAACUGCAUUUGAAACUGUUAUUCUAGAGUAUGGGAGAGGUAGGUUGAAUUCUUGGUGUAGGGGUAAAAUCCGUAGAGAUCAAGAGGAAUACUCAUUGCGAAGGCGACCUGCUAGAACAUAACUGACGCUGAUGCGCGAAAGCGUGGGGAGCAAACAGGAUUAGAUACCCCUGUAGUC
rnacentral:rRNA from 1 species